rnacentral:rRNA from 1 species
AGUGAACGCUGGCGGUAGGCCUAACACAUGCAAGUCGAACGGCAGCACAUUAAGAGCUUGCUCUUACGGGUGGCGAGUGGCGGACGGGUGAGGAAUACAUCGGAAUCUACUUUUUCGUGGGGGAUAACGUAGGGAAACUUACGCUAAUACCGCAUACGACCUACGGGUGAAAGCAGGGGAUCUUCGUACCUUGCGCGAUUUCAUGAGCCGAUGUCGGAUUAGCUAGUUGGCGGGGUAAAGGCCCACCAAGGCGACGAUCCGUAGCUGGUCUGAGAGGAUGAUCAGCCACACUGGAACUGAGACACGGUCCAGACUCCUACGGGAGGCAGCAGUGGGGAAUAUUGGACAAUGGGCGCAAGCCUGAUCCAGCCAUACCGCGUGGGUGAAGAAGGACUUCGGGUUGUAAAGCCCUUUUGUUGGGAAAGAAAAGCAGCAGGUUAAUAACCCGCUGUUCUGACGGUACCCAAAGAAUAAGCACCGGCUAACUUCGUG